CCCCCUGAAUUUAAGCAUAUUAAUUAGGGGAGGAAAAGAAACUAACAAGGAUUUUCUUAGUAGCGGCGAGCGAAAAGAAAACAGUUCAGCACUAAGUCACUUUGUCUAUAUGGCAAAUGUGAGAUGCAGUGUAUGGAGCGUCAAUAUUCUAGUAUGAGAAAUUAAUGAUUUAAGUCCUUCUUAAAUGAGGCCAUUUACCCAUAGAGGGUGCCAGGCCCGUAUAACGUUAAUGAUUGCUAGAUGAUGUUUCCAAAGAGUCGUGUUGCUUGAUAGUGCAGCACUAAGUGGGUGGUAAACUCCAUCUAAAACUAAAUAUAACCAUGAGACCGAUAGUAAACAAGUACCGUGAGGGAAAGUUGAAAAGAACUCUGAAUAGAGAGUUAAACAGUACGUGAAACUGCUUAGAGGUUAAGCCCGAUGAACCUGAAUAUCCGUUAUGGAAAAUUCAUCAUUAAAAUUGUAAUAUUUAAAUAAUAUUAUUAAGAAUAAUGUGCAUUUUUUCCAUAUAGGACAUUGUAAUCUAUUAGCAUAUCCCAAAUUUAUCAUAAAAUAUAACUUAUAGUUUAUUCCAGUGAAUGGCUUGCAUUUUGAACACAGAUAAAUGUAUAUUUGAUAAGUGCUGAUAGAUUUAUAUUAUUACAGAGCGUUAAUUUUUCGGAAUUAUAUAAUGGCAUAAUUAUCAUUGAUUUUUGUGUUUAUUAUAUGCUCUUGUAUGAUUAACAAUGCGAAAGAUUCAGGAUACCUUCGGGACCCGUCUUGAAACACGGACCAAGGAGUCUAACAUAUGUGCAAGUUAUUGGGAUGUAAACCUAAUAGCGUAAUUAACUUGACUAAUAAUGGGAUUAGUUUUUUAGCUAUUUAUAGCUAAUUAACACAAUCCCGGGGCGUUCUAUAUAGUUAUGUAUAAUGUAUAUUUAUAUUAUUUAUGCCUCUAACUGGAACGUACCUUGAGCAUAUAUGCUGUGACCCGAAAGAUGGUGAACUAUACUUGAUCAGGUUGAAGUCAGGGGAAACCCUGAUGGAAGACCGAAACAGUUCUGACGUGCAAAUCGAUUGUCAGAAUUGAGUAUAGGGGCGAAAGACCAAUCGAACCAUCUAGUAGCUGGUUCUUCCGAAGUUUCCCUCAGAUAGCUGGUGCAUUUUAAUAUUAUAUAAAAUAUCUUAUCUGGUAAAGCGAAUGAUUAGAGGCCUUAGGUCGAACGAUCNNNNNNNNNNNNNNNNNNNNNNNNNNNNNNNNNNNNNNNNNNNNNNNNNNNNNNNNNNNNNNNNNNNNNNNNNNNNNNNNNNNNNNNNNNNNNNNNNNNNUUAAAACAGCAGGACGGUGAUCAUGGAAGUCGAAAUCCGCUAAGGAGUGUGUAACAACUCACCUGCCGAAGCAACUAGCCCUUAAAAUGGAUGGCGCUUAAGUUGUAUACCUAUACAUUACCGCUAAAGUAGAUGAUUUAUAUUACUUGUGAUAUAAAUUUUGAAACUUUAGUGAGUAGGAAGGUACAAUGGUAUGCGUAGAAGUGUUUGGCGUAAGCCUGCAUGGAGCUGCCAUUGGUACAGAUCUUGGUGGUAGUAGCAAAUAAUCGAAUGAGACCUUGGAGGACUGAAGUGGAGAAGGGUUUCGUGUGAACAGUGGUUGAUCACGAGUUAGUCGGUCCUAAGUUCAAGGCGAAAGCCGAAAAUUUUCAAGUAAAACAAAAAUGCCUAACUAUAUAAACAAAGCGAAUAUAAUACACUUGAAUAAUUUUGAACGAAAGGGAAUACGGUUCCAAUUCCGUAACCUGUUGAGUAUCCGUUUGUUAUUAAAUAUGGGCCUCGUGCUCAUCCUGGCAACAGGAACGACCAUAAAGAAGCCGUCGAGAGAUAUCGGAAGAGUUUUCUUUUCUGUUUUAUAGCCGUACUACCAUGGAAGUCUUUCGCAGAGAGAUAUGGUAGAUGGGCUAGAAGAGCAUGACAUAUACUGUUGUGUCGAUAUUUUCUCCUCGGACCUUGAAAAUUUAUGGUGGGGACACGCAAACUUCUCAACAGGCCGUACCAAUAUCCGCAGCUGGUCUCCAAGGUGAAGAGUCUCUAGUC
rfam:Drosophila sechellia strain Rob3c scaffold_294 genomic scaffold, whole genome shotgun sequence.